rnacentral:rRNA from 1 species
AGUUUUUUCUUUGCCAAAUUACCCGAAGCUUAUGCUAUUUUCAAUCCAAUCGUGGAUAUUAUGCCUGUUAUACCUCUAUUCUUUUUUCUAUUAGCCUUUGUUUGGCAAGCUGCUGUAAGUUUUCGAUGA